AUUUUAAUUAAGUGUACAAGGUGUAGGGGUGAGUAUUGUAAAUGAGAUACCCUUGUAGUCUUCUUAAAUAGAAGAUAAAUCUAUCUCCCAAAGAAAAGAUUAUAAUAAUCAAGAAAAGAUUAAAUUAAAAGGAAAUUUUCCGCUGUAAGGAUUCAAUUUACAUUCGAUUAGGUAGUUGGAAGGGUAGAAGCCUCCCAAGCCGACGAUCGAUAGUCAAGUUUGAUAGAACAGAUGACCACAUUGGGAAUGAAAUAUCCCAAGUAGCGUGAAGCUACCAGCAGUCAAGAAUAUUAGUCAAUGCUCGCAAGAGUGAACUAGCUAACUGAAAUCAAUGGUGUGUCAUCAUUGAUAAGGUAAGGGAAAAGAAAUGAUACUACCUUACUAUUAGUGUCGUCCAAAUACUCGUGCCAGAAGACUCGGUAAGGCGAGAGACGCAAACGUUAGUCGUCUUAAUCAGGCGUAAAGGGUUUGUAGGCGGCUUUAAGAAUUUAAUCUUUUUAAAUAACAGACUUUAUUUUUAUAAAGUUAAUCUUUUUAAUUUAAGAAAAAAGGAAAAAAUCAAUUAAAGCUAGAAUCAAGUAGAGGUUAAAUUAAAUAAUACUUGGUGUAAGAUUGGUAUCUUUAAAAACCAAGCGGAAUACUAACGGCGAAGGCUUUUUUCCAAUAAUGAUUGACGCUGAGAAACUAAGGUGAGGACAGAAAAAAGGAUUAGAGACCCUCGUAUUCCUCACUGUCAACGAUGAAUGGUAGUUACUAGAAUAAAUUUUAAGGAUCUAGAGACGAUGUUAACACGAAAACCAUUCCGCCUUGUGAGUACGACUGCAAAGUUGAAAACAAAAAAAUUAGUCGGUUUCGGAGCAAACGAAGUGAAGCAUGUUAUUUAAUACGAUACCCCGCGUAAAAUCUUACCAGUCCUUGCAUAAAACUUUAUUUAUAAUUUUUUAUGAGUAAAGGUUGUUUGUGUUUCUAAUAAUUUAUUUUAGGAAUAGAACUUCAUACAGGUGUUGCAUGGCUG
rnacentral:rRNA from 1 species